rnacentral:rRNA from 1 species
UUAAGCGACUAAGCGUACACGGUGGAUGCCCUGGCAGUCAGAGGCGAUGAAGGACGUGCUAAUCUGCGAAAAGCGUCGGUAAGGUGAUAUGAACCGUUAUAACCGGCGAUGUCCGAAUGGGGAAACCCAGUGUGAUUCGUCACACUAUCGUUAACUGAAUACAUAGGUUAACGAGGCGAACCGGGGGAACUGAAACAUCUAAGUACCCCGAGGAAAAGAAAUCAACCGAGAUUCCCCCAGUAGCGGCGAGCGAACGGGGAGCAGCCCAGAGUCUGAAUCAGCUUGUGUGUUAGUGGAACGGUCUGGAAAGUCCGACGGUACAGGGUGAUAGUCCCGUACACCAAAAUGCACAGGCUGUGAACUCGAAGAGUAGGGCGGGACACGUGGUAUCCUGUCUGAAUAUGGGGGGACCAUCCUCCAAGGCUAAAUACUCCUGACUGACCGAUAGUGAACCAGUACCGUGAGGGAAAGGCGAAAAGAACCCCGGCGAGGGGAGUGAAAAAGAACCUGAAACCGUGUACGUACAAGCAGUGGGAGCACCUUCGGGUGUGACUGCGUACCUUUUGUAUAAUGGGUCAGCGACUUAUAUUCUGUAGCAAGGUUAACCGUAUAGGGGAGCCGCAGGGAAACCGAGUCUUAACUGGGCGUUAAGUUGCAGGGUAUAGACCCGAAACCCGGUGAUCUAGCCAUGGGCAGGUUGAAGGUUGGGUAACACUAACUGGAGGACCGAACCGACUAAUGUUGAAAAAUUAGCGGAUGACUUGUGGCUGGGGGUGAAAGGCCAAUCAAACCGGGAGAUAGCUGGUUCUCCCCGAAAGCUAUUUAGGUAGCGCCUCGUGAAUUCAUCUUCGGGGGUAGAGCACUGUUUCGGCUAGGGGGUCAUCCCGACUUACCAACCCGAUGCAAACUACGAAUACCGAAGAAUGUUAUCACGGGAGACACACGGCGGGUGCUAACGUCCGUCGUGAAGAGGGAAACAACCCAGACCGCCAGCUAAGGUCCCAAAGUCAUGGUUAAGUGGGAAACGAUGUGGGAAGGCACAGACAGCCAGGAUGUUGGCUUAGAAGCAGCCAUCAUUUAAAGAAAGCGUAAUAGCUCACUGGUCGAGUCGGCCUGCGCGGAAGAUGUAACGGGGCUAAACCAUGCACCGAAGCUGCGGCAGCGACACUAUGUGUUGUUGGGUAGGGGAGCGUUCUGUAAGCCUGCGAAGGUGACCUGUGAGGGUUGCUGGAGGUAUCAGAAGUGCGAAUGCUGACAUAAGUAACGAUAAAGCGGGUGAAAAGCCCGCUCGCCGGAAGACCAAGGGUUCCUGUCCAACGUUAAUCGGGGCAGGGUGAGUCGACCCCUAAGGCGAGGCCGAAAGGCGUAGUCGAUGGGAAACAGGUUAAUAUUCCUGUACUUGGUGUUACUGCGAAGGGGGGACGGAGAAGGCUAUGUUAGCCGGGCGACGGUUGUCCCGGUUUAAGCAUGUAGGCUGGUUGUCCAGGCAAAUCCGGAUAAUCAAGGCUGAGGUGUGAUGACGAGGCACUACGGUGCUGAAGUAACAAAUGCCCUGCUUCCAGGAAAAGCCUCUAAGCAUCAGGUAACAUUAAAUCGUACCCCAAACCGACACAGGUGGUCAGGUAGAGAAUACCAAGGCGCUUGAGAGAACUCGGGUGAAGGAACUAGGCAAAAUGGUGCCGUAACUUCGGGAGAAGGCACGCUGGUGUGUAGGUGAAGUCCCUGCGGAUGGAGCUGAGACCAGUCGAAGAUACCAGCUGGCUGCAACUGUUUAUUAAAAACACAGCACUGUGCAAACACGAAAGUGGACGUAUACGGUGUGACGCCUGCCCGGUGCCGGAAGGUUAAUUGAUGGGGUUAUCCGUAAGGAGAAGCUCUUGAUCGAAGCCCCGGUAAACGGCGGCCGUAACUAUAACGGUCCUAAGGUAGCGAAAUUCCUUGUCGGGUAAGUUCCGACCUGCACGAAUGGCGUAAUGAUGGCCAGGCUGUCUCCACCCGAGACUCAGUGAAAUUGAACUCGCUGUGAAGAUGCAGUGUACCCGCGGCAAGACGGAAAGACCCCGUGAACCUUUACUAUAGCUUGACACUGAACAUUGAGCCUUGAUGUGUAGGAUAGGUGGGAGGCUUUGAAGCGUGGACGCCAGUCUGCGUGGAGCCAACCUUGAAAUACCACCCUUUAAUGUUUGAUGUUCUAACGUUGGCCCCUUACCGGGGUUGCGGACAGUGUCUGGUGGGUAGUUUGACUGGGGCGGUCUCCUCCCAAAGCGUAACGGAGGAGCACGAAGGUUAGCUAAUCCUGGUCGGACAUCAGGAGGUUAGUGCAAUGGCAUAAGCUAGCUUGACUGCGAGCGUGACGGCGCGAGCAGGUGCGAAAGCAGGUCAUAGUGAUCCGGUGGUUCUGAAUGGAAGGGCCAUCGCUCAACGGAUAAAAGGUACUCCGGGGAUAACAGGCUGAUACCGCCCAAGAGUUCAUAUCGACGGCGGUGUUUGGCACCUCGAUGUCGGCUCAUCACAUCCUGGGGCUGAAGUAGGUCCCAAGGGUAUGGCUGUUCGCCAUUUAAAGUGGUACGCGAGCUGGGUUUAGAACGUCGUGAGACAGUUCGGUCCCUAUCUGCCGUGGGCGCUGGAGAAUUGAGGGGGGCUGCUCCUAGUACGAGAGGACCGGAGUGGACGCAUCACUGGUGUUCGGGUUGUCAUGCCAAUGGCACUGCCCGGUAGCUAAAUGCGGAAGAGAUAAGUGCUGAAAGCAUCUAAGCACGAAACUUGCCCCGAGAUGAGUUCUCCCUGAGACUUUAAGUCUCCUGAAGGAACGUUGAAGACGACGACGUUGAUAGGCCGGGUGUGUAAGCGCAGCGAUGCGUUGAGCUAACCGGUACUAAUGAACCGUGAGGCUUAACCUU